AUCUCCUUUUUUAAAAAGAAGUAAUGCCACUUCUUGCUGUUUUGGAAUCAAAUGCAUUGACAUUCAGGCAUUUUUAACCGUCGCACAGUGCCAAAACGGAGCAAUAACUAACUGAGAUUAACCUAAAGAUGAUUGUUGUGCGUGUGUUCUGUCUUGCAGUCUCGUGUGUGGGCAGCAGUGUUGGAAUGGUACUCUAUCGAGGGAGAAGAUAAUGAUGGAUCUCCAUGAGGUACAACAAGCAAACUUCUAGUAAUAUUGGACUUACGGAUUCAUCAGAAAAUGCCCCUCAAACCAAAGAAGCAACCUGAAAACCAGAAGAAAACACUGAAAUCAUUUACUGUGUGUAUUGGCUUAUGAAGUCAGACAGUACCUGAUUAACGGGACCCAGUCACUGAUGUUUUUAUAUUUAAUUAGCUUUAUGUAUUUUGUCAAUCAUUUCACAUGCUUGUAGAGGUGACACUGAAUGAUUGGAGAUUCAUUGAGAUGAAUGUGCAAGUUUUUAGAGUAUGUGAUCAACACACAAUGAAUUCAGUUUACCAAGCAAUAACUAUUGGAUAUUUAACUUCACUUUCAGGGAUCCCUAAUGUUAUCUCAGGGGUAUAGCCUAAGAUGUUUAAUUAUGUUGUGGUCACGUUAGUGAAAUAACAUUACAAUUGGAAUUUCUUAAAUUUGUUGAAAAAUAAUAAACACAAUGGCGAUUGCA
rnacentral:lncRNA from 1 species